rnacentral:lncRNA from 1 species
UGGUGUUUUGUAGAGCUCUUGUUUGAUCCCUGAGACACUUAGAGAAAGAGUUGAAACCAUUGUUAAUAGAUCUGUUGUUUGGUUUUUCCUUUUCCUUGGUCGGUUUGUUUCUGAUUCUGCCUCUACAUUCAUAAAUUAGAGUUUAUUCCGUAGUUUAGAAAUUGAUUAAUUCACCAAAAAUAUUGUAAGAGGAGACUAUCAGACUAAUUGAGUAGUCUAAUCGUAUAUUAGCAACCAUUUCUGUAUGAUAUUUUGUUAUUUAUUGCUUACUUUUGCUACUUCAAGCAUGUUCUGAUGAUUAUUGUGACUAGCAGGAGAUUUAUUAACACUAAUACACUUCAGUCUUGAAUAUUUGAACAGUGAUCAGUCUUGGAUAUUUGAAUAGUGAUCUUAUGAUUCCUAUCAAUAUUUAUAUAUGUUGAAAACUGUUUUAUUUGCGGAACUUAACUCAAAGUUGCUGUUGUUGUAUGGUGAAUUGGUAGGUGAACAUUCCCAAGACUAAGAAGACUUACUGCAAGAACAAGGAAUGCAAGAAGCAUACCUUGCACAAGGUCACUCAGUACAAGAAGGGUAAAGACAGUCUUGCUGCCCAAGGUAAACGUCGUUAUGACCGCAAACAAUCCGGUUACGGUGGUCAGACCAAGCCCGUCUUCCACAAGAAGGUAACCAAAACACUUAUAGUUGAUUCAGAUUUGAGUCGACUUCUAAUAAGUGUCUUCCAUCUGAGAACCAGUUUUGAGAUUCUCAUUUAAGACUUUGUGAAAUGUCUCAGAUUUCGUACAUGCUCAUCAUUUUGUACUUUUUUGGAACAGGCCAAGACAACCAAGAAGAUUGUCUUGAGGCUCCAGUGCCAAACAUGCAAGCAUUUCUCUCAACAUUCGAUUAAGGUAAUGGGACAUUUCUUUUUAUUUUUUGUUUACACUCUUUUGAGUAUUGAGAUGUGUUUCUUACAUUUGUGUGGGUUUUUGCAGAGGUGCAAGCACUUUGAGAUUGGUGGAGACAAGAAGGGAAAAGGAACAUCUCUCUUUUAAGUUAUUUCCUCUUUAUCUAUUUCUUUUUGUUGGUACUGUCUUGCUUCGAUACUUGAAUACAUUCUGAUUCUUCCUGAAAUGCUUAUGGUGUUCAAUUUAGAUGACAUUGUCGUAUGAAAUAUCUUUUAGUUUCGUGAACCUUUCUUUCUACACGCGUUUGAUGUUUUAAUUUUCACGACGUCGUAUUACAAACCAAACCCAUCUAAGUAGAGAUUUACUCUUGUACCGAUUUUGCAAGUUAGACUCAUUUUUGCCGCAAAAUUUAGGAUCUGCACCAUGUUGAUUUGCCUGUAUAAACGUCAACUGAACUUCUUUUAUAUUCGUAGACUUUAGGACCGAUGGCUCUGGGUAGUCUACGGAUUUGAAGUUUCUUAAAAACAGAAUUUCACUGAAACUGAUGAACAUUAAUGAUUGUCGUUAAUAAAAACCAAAUCUCAUUAGCAUCCGGCAAGUUUUCGGCUAACUGCAAUCAACCUAACUGCACUUGUGGAAGCUUAUAGAAGUUUUGUGUUGAAUGCUUAUUUAGUUUCAACAAUUAUUAUUGUGCUCAAAGGGUCCAAUACAAACUUGGUAUCAGGCUCGAGGUGGCUUCUGGAAUAUGUUCACACUAAUAAAUCCUACUUUCUGAUCAUUAUGAUUCCCUAAUUUGGCCUUUAUUAGCUUGCAUGAUUGUUCUACCUAAGCCGCCUUUCUUGGGCCACUGCCACGAUUAAGCUCAUAGCCUCUUAUUGUCUUUUGAAGUUGUUCAUUGGUUUAUCUGAACAUAUAAACAUUAAAACUGAUCUGUAUUCAUCGAGUUACCUGAAACACUCAAGUCUGUAUUCUAUUCUAUGAUGACAUUUUUGAUGAUAUUAAGAUCGAAAGUGAUGAAGGAAAUCUAAAACAUUUUCUUAUAGUUUCUUCCAACAUAAUCCAAAACUUUUCGACUCACAAGACGGGUCAGACACCCCCCGUCAUCGAGUCAUAUACGUAUCCUCCAUCUAUUCAAAUACGCUUAUUGACAACAAUGUAUCACGUACAUUCGAUUAUCUUGAUGCACAAAAUAGUAUCAACCUAUUACUUCUUUUUUUUUCUGUAUCACGCGGGUUGAUGGUAUCAUCUAUUACUUCUUGUUUACUGAUGAAUCAAAUCUCUUUUACUUAUAUUUUUGAAAUUCAUUCACGCCGAACAAUUUUGAGUGGCGCUAAGAAAUUUUAUUUAAUAAAAAGUCGCGCGAAAAGAUGUCGUGGUCUGGAAAAUUAUUAAUUUUAAUUGGUUGAUAGGACUAUUAGUACAUCACACGGAUAGGUCAAACGGGCGAUAGGAGUGUUUUAAUUGGUUGAUAAAUGGAAUCACGCGGAUUGAUGAUAUCAUGAAAUCGUAGCCGUCGAUAGUACUUUAAUCCAACGGACAAGAAAAAUAUAUUUUCCUCCGGAAUAAAUUUCUUUCUUAUAAAAGCAACACAUCUUCGGCGGUAACUCUUCACACACCAACCUUCGCAUCAUCAAUUCCCAUUUUCUAGAUUGUUCGUAUUUAAUUUCGAAAUGGCUCGUACCAAGCAGACCGCAAGGAAAUCCACCGGAGGCAAAGCCCCAAGAAAGCAGCUCGCAACGAAAGCAGCCAGGAAAUCCGCUCCGGCCACCGGCGGAGUGAAGAAGCCACACAGAUUCCGUCCAGGAACGGUGGCAUUGAGGGAGAUCAGGAAGUACCAGAAGAGCACCGAGCUUCUGAUCCGUAAGCUUCCUUUCCAGCGUCUGGUUCGUGAGAUCGCUCAGGAUUUCAAGACGGAUCUAAGGUUCCAGAGCAGCGCCGUCGCGGCUCUACAGGAAGCAGCCGAGGCUUACCUCGUUGGGUUGUUUGAAGACACUAAUCUUUGCGCGAUUCAUGCGAAGAGAGUCACUAUCAUGCCUAAGGAUAUCCAGCUCGCUAGGAGAAUCCGUGGUGAAAGAGCUUGAAAGAGUCUCGGCUUUAACUUUCAUGUGUUAGUUAACGCGUUUGUUUCUACGUUGUUUAUGUCUAGCCUUUGUUAAAAGAGAGUCCUGAAGGUGUUCGACGAAAUAUCCCAACGAGUGUAUCUCUUGUUUAAUAAAAGCUUAUUUGACUAUUUCUAUGCUUGUUAGAUGACACAGCCAUUUCUCCUCUAUGUAAUCUUACAAACAUUGGUUCAGAUAUACAAUUUGUAAACAAACUAGAUAUUAAAUUACUUAGGCUUAGUCAAAGUCAUCAUUUAACAUGUCUAACAAGACACGCAAUGCAUUCGGCUUGGAGAACCGAGUCUUUGUUCCUUGUUCUUGUUGUUGGUGAUGAGAAGUUGGCACUGAAACUGCUGAUGAAUUGUCUUCUACUAGCUGUGGAAUUUGAUCUUCUUCUAUCCAGUCCUGAAACAGCUGUAGAGGACGCAAACCACCGUGACUGCCUAGCCGCUGCAGCAAUUAAUUGUGUAUUAGACAUCCCUAGAAUCAUAACACUGCAGUUAUAGCGUCUCUCCCAGGGGAUUCUAAUUCCCUUUUGUUUUCUCAUAAACAAGGUAACUUCUAACCAUUCUGAUUCCCUUUUGGUAUUUAUAAGCUUGCAGGUUGUUCUAAUUGGAGCUGUUGAAUAGCAAAAAAUUUCUCUUAGGCCCAUGGGGAAACCUGGAAACACUACUUGUAGUCUGAACGUAUUGAGUUCAGGUGGUGGUGUAUUCUGUGUGACGUAAGAACAGCAACAAACUAGUGUGUGUGAGUAGACAAAUUGCUCCGUUCUCUUAAUUGACCCAGACGGUUUACGUUGAGUUCGAUUUUAAGGUAUUACAAAAUCGGUUAAGAGGUUUUCUUCUUGAUUAGGUUUGGAAUUGGAUCACCAGUAAACCGGCAUCGGCUUGGACUCUAGUAAUAACGCGGGAAAAAGAAAAGAAAACAAAAGGCUAUAAUUGGUUUAACUAAACCGGAUCGCCGACAUUUAGUAAGAUUUUCCUUUUUUUUUUUUGGAACAACAGAAUCGAAAUAAGAUUUUUCGUAUUUUAUUACCGUUUACGUAGAAUCCAAUCCAUCACUAAUUUGUUGACUUAUAUAUAUACUGAGAGAGAGAUCAGAGUCCAUCGAUCACUUUGCUUUGUCCACACGCUAAACAAAACAAAACAAAAAAAAAUCACUCUCGCAAAGAUCUCUCUCGAGAAGAAUGGUGAAAGGUGGUACAAAGAGGAAGGCAACGAUGGAGAGUAUCACGAAACGCGAAUCUGCGGCAACGACUUUCACGAAACGAAGCUACGGUCUCCAUAGCAAAGUCUCGCAGCUCUGUCUUCUCACCGACGCACAGAUCGCCGUGUUGGCAACACCUCCUUCUUCCCACUCCAACGUCAGCUUCUUCUCCUUCGGCCACUCUUCGGUUGACUCCAUCGUUACCGCUUUUCUCACGGGAGAGAGACCUGCUGUCCGAGAAGAAAUAGAGGAUCACGAGGACCUUGGGAUUUGUCUCGCUAGAAAAGAGUUAGGGUUGCCUCAGUGGUGGGAUGACGAUGCUCUUCUCAAAUCUAAGAAUCCCCAAGAACUGUCCCUUGCCAUCAACUCCAUGUCUAGGUUGUUGACUAAAAUCAAUGAGUUGCGUGCUGAAGACGCAGAGGAAGAGCCUCCUCUGAAGAAACAGAAGAAGAAGAAGAACGAGGAGACAAUGAAGAAAACAGAACCCACGGUGGAACAAACCCUAGUUCUCCCGUCCGGUUCCAGUGACAGAACCCUAGAUUACAACAACAACAACAAUGACUCGUUGGAGGAGAUUGAUUUUGAUCAACUAAUUGAUCUGGAUUUAGAUUUAGAUUUUGAUUUCGAGUCUAUGAAUUCUUCUGACAACAACGACGAGACCAUGAAGAUGACAGAGCCCUUGGAUCAACCGCUCCUUCUCCCAUACGAUAUUUGUGCCAGUCCAGACAACAACAACACCUAUUCAACUGGAGAGAUGAGCUUAGAUUACGGGAUUGAUAAGCAGCUUCAGGAGACUACUAUUGCAAUGAGCUCGGUGGCUUGUGAUGAUGGUGUCUCUGCUUUGAAUGAAGAUGACAUCAACUUCUCUGAUUAUCUCACUCAGUUUCUGCAGUCUUGAAGAUAACAACAGUAUAUGGUUUAUUAGUUAACUUCUCUGUAACUUGUUUGUCUUGGUUACUUUUUAACGUGUUUCACACUGAUGUAUGUAACAAAUGAAGGGUCUUGUUUGAUCUCUCAUCAAUUUUCCAUAUCGGUAUGGAAUUGAUUUGAUCCCUGAGACACUUAGAGAAAGAGUUGAAACCAUUGUUAAUAGAUCUGUUGUUUGGUUUUUCCUUUUCCUUGGUCGGUUUGUUUCUGAUUCUGCCUCUACAUUCAUAAAUUAGAGUUUAUUCCGUAGUUUAGAAAUUGAUUAAUUCACCAAAAAUAUUGUAAGAGGAGACUAUCAGACUAAUUGAGUAGUCUAAUCGUAUAUUAGCAACCAUUUCUGUAUGAUAUUUUGUUAUUUAUUGCUUACUUUUGCUACUUCAAGCAUGUUCUGAUGAUUAUUGUGACUAGCAGGAGAUUUAUUAACACUAAUACACUUCAGUCUUGAAUAUUUGAACAGUGAUCAGUCUUGGAUAUUUGAAUAGUGAUCUUAUGAUUCCUAUCAAUAUUUAUAUAUGUUGAAAACUGUUUUAUUUGCGGAACUUAACUCAAAGUUGCUGUUGUUGUAUGGUGAAUUGGUAGGUGAACAUUCCCAAGACUAAGAAGACUUACUGCAAGAACAAGGAAUGCAAGAAGCAUACCUUGCACAAGGUCACUCAGUACAAGAAGGGUAAAGACAGUCUUGCUGCCCAAGGUAAACGUCGUUAUGACCGCAAACAAUCCGGUUACGGUGGUCAGACCAAGCCCGUCUUCCACAAGAAG